UGCAGUCGACGGUAACAUGAGAGCUUGCUCUUGAUGACGAGUGGCGCACGGGUGAGUAACACGUAUGCAAUCUACCUAUAACUGAGGAAUAGCCCAGAGAAAUUUGGAUUAAAACCUCAUAAUAUUAUUAUUUGGCAUCAUUUAAUAAUUAAAACUCCGGUGGUUAUAGAUGAGCAUGCGUUUUAUUAGUUUGUUGGUGAGGUAAGAGCUCACCAAGACUACGAUAGAUAGGGGGCCUGAAAGGGUGAUCCCCCACACUGGUACUGAGACACGGACCAGACUCCUACGGGAGGCAGCAGUGAGGAAUAUUGCACAAUGGAGGAAACUCUGAUGCAGCCAUGCCGCGUGCAGGAUGACGGCCCUAUGGGUUGUAAACUGCUUUUUUACAAGAAGAAACCUUGGUACGUGUACCAACUUGACGGUAUUGUAAGAAUAAGCACCGGCUAACUCCGUGCCAGCAGCCGCGGUAAUACGGAGGGUGCAAGCGUUAUCCGGAUUUAUUAGGUUUAAAGGGUUCGCAGGCGGAAUUUUAAGUCAGUGGUGAAAGCCUAUAGCUCAACUAUAGAACUGCCACUGAUACUGAUAUUCUUGAGUGUAGAUGAAGUGGGCGGAAUAUGUCAUGUAGCGGUGAAAUGCAUAGAUAUGACAUGGAACACCAAUUGCGAAGGCAGCUCACUAAACUAUUACUGACGCUCAUGAACGAAAGCGUGGGGAGCGAACAGGAUUAGAUACCCUGGUAGUCCACGCCGUAAACUAUGAUCACUAGAUGUUGGCGAUAUAUUGUCAGUGUUUUAGAGAAAUCGUUAAGUGAUCCACCUGGGGAGUACGUUCGCAAGAAUGAAACUC
rnacentral:rRNA from 1 species